GCCUCCUCUCCCAGCUCAGAAGGCACAGCGGGUAGGUGCAGAGUGACAGCUGAAGGACCAUGUAUCCCCCAAGGGCAGAAAACCACCACGCAGGAGAGGAUACCAGAGGCCCUAGUGAGCUUGGUCCUGGCAGGAACUUUCCACAGGCGGGCACACCUGGGCUUCAGAUCAGGCCUCCAGGGCUCUUGCAUGUCUGAUCACAAAGGGAGGCAGAAGGACCUGAUGGGAGAAGCACCCGCCUUGGUAGAGAAAGGAUGGAGAAAUGAGCACAGGUGCAGCGCCUGCUGAUACCUCGGGCCUGGUCUCUCCAGCCCCAGCUGUAAUGGGGGAAAGAGACUGUGAGGAUGGAAUUAGGUGCUGCGUGUAAGGCACUUUGCACCCAAUAAGCCCCACUAAAAGCCUCUGAUCUUCUUAAAGAAAAUGGGGAACAAGGAGGCUGCUGAGGGCUCUAGCUGGCUGCGGACACUCCUGAGCCUCUGUCACUUUCCCAUCUGCCAGACCCCAGAGGCAGAUCGCCCAGGCUCAGAAGCUACAUUCAAUGGAGAGAACAGCCACCCAGCCCUCGAAGUGCUCAGCUCUGAGCAGCCAUACCCUCAUAGGGGAGCAUUCUCACCUCAGGCUACCUGCUCUGGGUGACGUCACACCUCCAGGGAUGAUCCAGCCAAGCGCCGCCAGGCAGGCACUAAACACAGAGUUCAGAGUCCAUUGGAAAGGUGGCCGAGCAUGAUCAGCAUGAACAGCCUAAGAUGGAGUCCAGGCCCUAUGAAUUCCUUCUUCAGACCUAAAUAUAUGUGGGGGUGUUGCUUCCUUAAUAGGAGUUUAUGUCUCACUUGCCUGUCAGUUUCAAGCAAGUGUCCAGGAAGUGAACAGCAUCCUCCACACCAUGAUUCAAGGCCCCAGGAUCAUUAUUUCUGCGGCUCUACCAUCUCUUACAGCCUUUGGUCAUCUUCAUACAGCUGAUGAAAGGACAAAGAAUCUGACCCUUGAAGCGACAUCUCUCUCUUCCAUUCACAUUCUACUAUUUUGAAUCUAUUUUGUUAGUCACAAAAAAAAGCUAGUCACACAGUCAUGCUUAGGUGCAUGGAAUAGGGGUAGGGAAAUGGGGAUAUAGCUGGAAAAUGUUCCUGGAUGGGCUUUCCAGAUACUGCUCUUUGCAAUGGCUGUGGGAGGGUGGGUUUUGGUGGGCAGCCAGCCCCCUCUGCCAUACACAGCUUUAGCUUAGGUGUGGUUGAGCUAGUGAUAAAAUCACUGUGGUUUUAGAGCAAAUAAUGAGUCCCCCAAGGGAACAAGAACAAGUUGAGCAGGAGCCCCCAUUCUGAGUCUGGCCUCAUACUCAGACACACUGUAGGAGACCACCAAGUGAGCAGUGAGGCCCCAGCCUCUAGGAACCACCAGAUAUAUUGGAACUCUAAUGCAUGAGAUCAGCAGUCACCAGCCCAAGGCAGGAGAUAAUCAAAUGCUGAGUGGUGCCUGGCACAAAGAUGAGAGUGUAAAUUUUGGGAGAAAAGGAACUGUUUCUGUAUGUUCCUGGCUGACUCUUCUGUGCCCGGCACAAGGACUGGCAUGGAGCCCCACCUCAGAAGACCUCCGCUGGCUCAAAUUAAACUGCCUGGAGGAGACAGGGCAGAAAAGGGGGAAAGGGUGGCCCUGAGUGUUCUGUUGACCUUCCUUGGAAGGAUUUCUGGAGAUGGAGGAUUAAUUAAAUAAAGGCCUGAGGCCGGAACCAAAUCCAUCAAGCAGUACGAACAGCAUGGACUGUCUGGCCAGAGGGUAGCAGGAGUCCUUCAGGGCGCUGGGGAGCUGACUGGGCUCUUUUCCUCCAUGACCCUGAUCAUCGGUAGUGAUAUAUGUGAAACUAUUGCACUAGACCAAGAGCUCCCUGAGGGCCGAAGCCUAUCUUCCCAGGCAUCACUGAGCCUGCAGGCCCUGACCCAUGCUAGGUGCUUAGUGAAUGAGUGCAAGGCCUGCUAAUGGGACGGUCAGCCGCUAUCUGCACCAUGAAGCUGCCCAGGGCAGGGAGGUGGCCCUCCACCUGUCUGCCCAUUCUGCCUGGAGCUGGAUUUUACCUCCAGCCAGAACUUCCUUUGUUUGCUCAUUAAGUUAAUGUUUAUUGUGCUCCACCAAGG
ensembl:lncRNA